UUUCCGUAGGUGAACCUGCGGAAGGAUCAUUAAUGAGUUGUCAUGGGGUUCGAUGCUGGCAGCCAGUUUUUGGAUGCAUGUGCUUGCCCUAACAAUCAUCUUCUUCCAAACACCUGUGCACAUUUUUGAGGGAGUCUUGAGUUGGUUGCCGCUCUUGGGUGAUUUUCUCACAUUCCCUUAAAUCAUUAUACGCUAUUAACAAUGUUGAACGUGCUCUGUGCCGCAAGGCCAUUAAUAUAAUACAACUUUUAACAACGGAUCUCCCGGCUCUCGCAUUGAUGAAGAACGCAGC
rnacentral:misc_RNA from 1 species